CCUGUAAGGCACAACUCAAGUUUCAAGCAGCAUCUACACACGUGGGCAACUCUCAGCCAUCACGUUCUCAUUCAAAGGGAAUCAUCACCGUCGUGCUGGACACCUGGUGUUGCACUGAGAACCGUGGUCUCCCAGGUCCACUCAGAUGGGACACCCCCAAACCAGUCCUGUUUCUCUUGCUCACGGAGGGCAGGCAGGUCACACCACACGGAGGGACCGAGCGCUGGUGAGCGGGGGACAGUGAGCCGAGCUCCCCGACGUCGGACGGCAAGUGAGGGAGCCGGACACCAACAGCCUGACAGAGGACAGGACUGACCGCUUACGACACAAACCAGCCAGCAAGUCGAGACAGCCCAGCGGUGGAGGAAACAAGGAGAACGUCCUGAGGCCGUGAGGCCACGCUGGCUGAUGGGAGGGGGGCCAACCCCUGCGGCAGAAGCAGUCUUGAGACGCACCCGGGCAAAAGCGAUGAGGGUCCCGCCUUCAUGCUCCCGGGACUCGACCCCCCGAAAGGCAAGCGCCUCUGUGUACACGGAGAUGUACUCCUACUGUGGCAAAACCCAGACGAUGCACUCGCCCGGCAUCAGGGAGCGGUGACCUCGCCUUCCUCACCCUAAGGGUCUCUCAUCGACCGCGCGACUGCAAGGGACAGGAGAAAGACAUACCGGAGGCGGGAGGGCACUUAAAACUAGGCCACAAAAAGCAUCACGGUCACGCGGUAACGCCACACGGGGUCUGUGAGUGGGGGACAGGACGUGUGCACAGGCACCCCAGGAGCGUGGCAUCGAGACGCCUGCCAGGCCCCCCUGCCCUGGACGGGCGGCCCCGGGCGGGGGCCUCAGCCACACGCUCACACCCGGACGCUAGCUGCUCCUCUGAAGGUGGACACAUCUCAGAAGCGCGUGCUCCUGCCUCACUGAAAGGAACCGCCGAACCUGCUCUGAGCAGCUGCCUCGGCUCCUCAGGGCCGGGAUGCUGGUGCCCAGCCGUCCUCUACUGAUGAACCUGCCGCUGCUUCCCGUUUCCGCUGUCCCACCGCUGCGGCCACGGGCACUCCGCACGGCUGCUUCUCUUUGUAGUUGGUGCUAAGUCCAUGCUGAUUCUCUGCCUAGGGCCUCUCGCUCCAAGACGUGGAUCCUCACUUGGCUGUCUCCUGUGCCUCCCUGAAUUGUGGCUCUGGGGGGUGGCUGCGCUGUUAUUUGGGGCACACCCUGCAGGAUGUAUCCUGGUCCCUGGCGGCGCUCUUGACGUUAAAAGGCCUUCCUCUGUCUCACUGAGUGCGCUGGGGCCCAAAUUUUGCCUUGUCUGAGAACAAUUCUUUUUUAAUUUGACUCCACCUGACACACUUUUGUGCACAAUUUUAUUUUCAACUUUCAGGAUCCCUCUGUUUCUUAGAUACAGCAGAGAAACAGGCUUCGCUUUAUGAACCAAUCUGGAAAUCUUUUAAUAGAUGAGUUAAUCCAACUCCCUUUUACAAAUAUGACUCACAUGUUGGGCACAAUUCUAUCAAUCUAAUUUGCUUGUUUAUUUGGGUUUUAAGCCUUUUGCUAUGAAGUAAUGGGGUUUUUUAAUUACUGAUUUUCCUGUUAUGUUGGGAACUUUAUUUUCCCUGCUGGCUGUCCUUUAUCGAGGGCAUCUUUGCCUGCAUACGGCGCCCGCAACCUCCUCUUGCAGUGGUCUCCCCUGACCCACCUCCAUCCUUACAACCCAGUUUUCCGCGGCAUCCUUACCUUGAUACUUAAAAAUGCUGAAAGCUACUCCUACUUGUCUUAUCAGCCUGACGCUCAGGCAUCAGCAUCAGAGGUGAGUUUACCUCACUCUCUGGCCUCCCCUGUUGCUGUCGGGAGUCACAGUUCGGCACAAGUUCCCGAUACCUGUACCACCACCAGUCGCUUUGCGGGGGUCGCCUAGAACCCAUCCUUCAGCAGCUUCCCCCAAAGGACCGGUGCCCUCAGCUCCCGUGUCCACACCUGUCACUCUGACAUCUACGUCUACAGAACCAGUCGGCUGGAGAGAAAGUCUCCAGUUCACUCUUUCCUUGAAAACCUUAUCAGUGCUCCUCUGUGCUCAGGCGCUGGAUUCUGCCACGAGAAGCCUCGAGACGGCCUCACUGUCUUCCCCUUACAAGGAACUCAGUUUUUUGGCCAAGCUGGCCAAAGGGUUCCUUGCUAUGUCCAGUAACUUUAAUGAGGUAUUUACCACGUCGACCACUUUGGAUGGACUGCCCCUGAAACACAGGGUAUUCCUUCAAUACCUAGACUCCCGUCACGCAGAGAGACCCUCCGCGGCCUGUCCCCCGGCCACGCUUUCUUUCUAACCUUCCUCUCUUUCCGCCGUGCCCUGUCCAUCCUGCGUCUGCUCAGGUGCCGCUCCAGGGGUUUAAGCUUCAGAGAUGCUCUGGCUGCGGCUCGUUUCACUCUCAGUCUCCGAGUUCGAGGUCCAGCUCAGCUUGCUAAGUGGCCGUCUCUAACCCCUUGUGCUUCAGAAGUGCACGCCGACUGCUGGGGCACGAUGUCCCCAGCUCUGGCCGCGUCUCCCCAGCCGCAGGGAGGUUCUGCUGCUCUUUGUUGACAGAUCCUCUCGAAACGUGCUGGGGCUCCUGGAGCAGCGCUGGCUGCAUUCUGGGUGCCCUGUCUCUGGGCUCCCCGCUCUGUGGCCACCUGAUGGCCCACAGCUCCCCAGGCUCUAGAGCCUUAGGCCCCCUCUCUGCCUCACAGAAAGCUGCCGUACUUUGGAAGACGGUCCUUCCGAGGCCUGUCACCACAGGUCCCCACCCACCCCUCUUUCUCUGAGGCCCCCUUCUGAGACCGCUGGAUAUACGUCUACUAGUUCAUCCUCUUGUGCGACUGUCAGCAGUGAGGAGGCGAGUCGGGACCGCUCAGUUCUGCUGGGAGCAGGCACCUCGGGGGCGGGGGGGGCCUAGAGGCGUCAACUCUGCAGCACCUCAGCCUCCGAGUCCCCUGCUCUCAGACAGCGUCUUCCGUCUGCUCGUGGGUGACGAGGUCCUUAGUUUCACUGAAGAUGUACUUGGUGUAUCUUUUUGUUGCUGCUUUGGAAUUGAGCACCGCCAUCUUCUACCAAGAUCCUACGUAUAGAUUUUUUAAUUUCAUUUUUAUAGAUUAAGGGGUUUUUUGGCAGCGCCUUGUGGGAUCUUAGUUCCUCGACCAGGGAUCGAACUAGGGCCCUGGGCAAUGAGAGCUGAGUCCUAACCAUGGGACUGCCAGGGAGGUCCCUACCUCGUGUUUUCUGAUUACUAUCUUUUCUCCUUUUUUCCUCCCUCCUCCCUCACUUUCUAUUGACGGGCACUUUUCUUCAUGCACUUUCCCACUCUCUCACAAGGCGGAAGUUACACUCUCCAUUUCUACUCAUUCAGUCACUUCCUACGUACGCCUGACAAAGCACGAGUCAGUGGAGCCUCCCCUCCAUCCACAGCAAACACGCAGCUCCCACUGGCCUCGCCUCUCUUCUGACGCCCUCUGUGGCGCCAUCCCGGCCCCGCUGCCCCGCAUUCACCAGCACUCGGCACCUGUGACAGCCACACCCGCACGCGCGCCACCUCUUGUCCACCAUCCUUCUCGCACCUCACACGUAACUUCUGAAGCCCCUGAAGAACCUCCUUUACUAUCUCCUCCGCCACGUGACGCUGAUGGUCAGCUCGCUUGGUCCCGGCCCGGAGGGUGCGAGGUGCAGGGCCAAGGGGUUUUCUCCCUGAGGAGUAGAAGUGUCCCUGGUUUCCAUAAUACUAGGAGGAGGCUGACCAUCCGACUGUCGUUCCCUGGAACACGCUCCGUCUUUUUUUUCUCGGUUGUCUUUUUCUUUUGUUUUGGCUGCACUGUGCGACUUGUAAGACCUCAGUUCCUCGACCAGGGAUCGAAGCUGGGCCCUCAGCUGUGGAGGCGCCGGGUCCUAACCACUGGGCCCCCGGGGAGUCCCUCUGUUGCCCUUCAUCCUUGUGGUGUGCGGCGUCUCACAGGCGUUUUGUUUAAGCAGCACGCCUACGUAUGGAUUUCUAACAGCAUGCCUAGGUAUGGGUUUAUUUUUAUCUGUCCUGCCCAAAACUUGUUCAGCUUCAGCCAUGGAAUGAUCCGUGUCACAGAGGUUCCAUAAAUUCUUUCUCCGUCCCGCCUCUCCCCCAGGUCUCCCUUCCGUCUUCCUUCUGGAACAUCUACUGAGCGUCUGUCUUCCCGUCUCUCGGCCUCUUUCUCCAGCCUCAUCGCUCCAUGUUCCCGUGCCGCCCAGACGGAUUCGCAGAAGCUCCUUCUGCUGCAGUCACUUCCCUGCUGCGGUCUAACUUUUCUUAACCCGUCCACUGGGUUACUUUCAAUGACUAUAUGUUAACUCCCAGUUUUAACUGUUGGUUCACAUCUGCCUGAUUCAUCCCUCAGUGUCUUGUUCCCGUGUCUCUAAACCUCCUUUUAUGGCUUUAACCAUCUGUAACGUGUUGAUUUAAUCCUUUCUUUCAGAUUUAAUCUCACCCCUCAGAUUCUCACCGACGCUGAGCCUUCUAUGUGAGGUCUGCUCGCGGAGGUCCUGCUCUGUUGCGCUUGUACCGUGUAGGGAGGUGCGGCUUCUUUUACUCUUGCAGGAAAUGGAUGAGGGAUGCAUUGUUUCAACGUCUCAUGCGUCGUGGAAUUUAUCUCGGCUUCAGCCAGGUGCCCUCGGUGAAUCAUCAUUUCAAGGACUAAUUUGUAUGUUAAGUGACAACCUGGCAUUUUCCACAACAUGUUUCUAAAAGCCGAGGUGGUGAAGCUAUUGAUUUUAAAGCAGAAAUGCUAGUUCCACACUAAGUCAAGACCGCUCUCACACGUCCACAUACAAACGACCAGCUGUGACCAGAACAACCUUCAACGUGAACUAACACCUGAAAGGAGCAGAGGAGCUUCAGAAAGGAGCUGAGUCAGAAACAACCAAAUGGAAAAGGGAUCGGGCACACUUGCCGAAGUCACAGUGACUGUCCUCCCCAGCUCCCCUUUCAGACAGGAGUCCCUCCUGGGCCGGGGCUGGGGGGGUGCCUUCUUGCCCACCUGGGGCCGCACGAGGCCUCGCCCAAGCCAGCCAAGAGUCACCCUCCAGGCAAGCACUGCUCCUUCUACUGGACUCAUCAAAUGGACAGAGGACGCUCCUUUAUAUAAAACACUUACACUGCUACUGAAAUGAUGAACAAAAUCUCAGCUCUUCAUCUGCCACAGUGGGCCCAAUGUCCAGGCUUUUGGUGGAGAACCCUAAUUUUAAGCCCACACCUGGGCACCUUUUAUGUUUUCGGAAGUGGAUGCUAAUUUACAGUCUGGCUUUUCGUUAGAACAUUUCUAAGACAGACUCAAUAGGUAUGAGAGUAACCCCCAGUCUGGCCACGCUCACACAACCCAGACCUAACCCUGGGGGAGCAGACCAGGGCCCAGGAGACCGAGAGGGGCGGCAAACCUCGCCUUUCCGCUGUCCUCUCCUCCGGUGUAUUCAGCUGCUCCCGUCCCCUACCACGGCAACCUCUUGAAAUGGCCAACCCCCCCCCGCCCCCGCCGUCCCACUCCCCGGCCCUGAGCACUCCACUUGAAACGUUCCUGUGGUUCUGCGUGGACUUCCCAUGAAAACCACGGCAUCAAGCACAGCUAACGCUGGGACGGGGACCUCAGAGAGACCACCCGGGAGCAGGCUAACCCUCACACACUCACACACGGCAAAAACCCACCCUUUUGCCUUACGUUUCUGAAACUCUGCUUCCUUGUGAAACUUCACUUAGGUUUCUUGUCGGUUUUUAGGAAUAUCCUCUUUAAAAUAGUGAGGUUACUUUCAGUUGGGAGGUAUAAAUGUGCGAGAUGCUAAAGAGAGGGCUGAGAGGCAGCCACCUAAGUCCCCCACAGCUGAAGACUCUGGGAAAGGUGCACAAGGAGACAGGAGUCCGGGGCGGCAGUGGGAGCAGCUCUACCCAACACGGCACGGGCCCAGGGGGGCCGCUCCAGUACCGCGGGCUACCUUCAUCUCUGGAACAGCUACCAUCUCAGCUUCUGUACACUCAGACUAGUGUCCGCCUGUGGCCUCCCGUUUUGUUCCAGAGGCCCUCCUCGCAGCCACCUCCCCACCAGGCCCAAGCGUGGCACGUGGAAGGAGCGGUCACGGCAGUGACUCUGUGCAUGAUAUAGCCAGUCACCUCAACAACUGUCAGCUCAAAUGACCAAAGACCAGGGUGAAUCAGCGUUACUUUGACCUUAGGAAAUGAAGACAUUCCGCGCUAAACAGCAGCGUAAUGAAUCUGUACUCCUGCAGACAAACUACUGCCUGACCCUAAGCUCUUUCAAAGCAGGAGCCCCUUCCACUCCCCUCCUUCGGGAAGCUGUGGGCAGGCCCUCUCGGGAACUCUGCCCCCCACCAGCGCUCCUCAGCGAGACCACAACAAUGCUGACUACAUCUGCCUCUGCCUGCUGGGCACCUUCCCGCCUGCCUUGGGAUGAGCUCCCCCCCAACCAGCGCUGAGACACACUGCGUCGCCCCCUCCCCCUCUCCUGCACUCACCCCUAUUUACUCAGCUGAGGCUAAGUCUACGCUGCUCCUGUGGACACAGCAUCGAGUCAUCCCCAUCAAAAAGGAAGGCGCCCCUUUCUCUGCUGGCUCCUAACCCACCCAUCACGUGUCGGUCGCUGGCUGGCUACCAACUCAAAAUCCAUCAUGCCAUAAUUUCAAACAAGUCUCUUAAUCCUGACUGUCAAAGGCCUUCCAGGCUCGAGUCUUUACUUUGGGUAAUGGCUUCUUGAACUAGGGUCAUUUUUACACCACCGUUCUUCCACAUUUUAAAAUUUAGUGACUGGUUCUCUGAGAACCCUCAUCAGUCCCGAGCUCCUCCACGUCCCUUAGGGACAGCGUGACUGAGGCCGUCCUGGAGGCCCCGUGUCCACGGAGUCUGAGCAGAGUCGCGCCCCCAGCCACAGUCCAGUACCCGGAAGCAUCAGUCAAGCCCAGCAUGUGCCGCUUCUAGGGUUACUUUAUCCCCACGCGCACAGUGCAGUCAAGAGGAUUGCUUUUCAUGCCGAAGCAAAAUUUAUACUUUUGGAUAAAAAUGGAAUGAUGGUGAUUUUAUUAUUUUUAUUGUUAUAACCAUUAUUGUCACAAUAGCGAACCACUAAGUCCUUGCAAGGCGCCAGGCACCCCAAGUGUUUUACAUGCGUUACACUACUUAAUGGUUUAGAACACAAGUAUUAGUGAGAAACUCUCAUUAAAGGAAAAACACACCUGAAGAGUCCACUCGGAAUGAACCGAGUGCUACCGGCCUGGUAACGUGAAGAGCCCUCCCGCCUCUAUGACCUGAAGGGCACGGAGGCCUUUCCUCACCAUGCAAACAUGCGGACACCCUGGGGCACACCAGGUGGUCACCCAAGAUUGAGACAUUUAAUAUAAUGGCUCAUGUUCUACAAAAGCAACCAAUGAAGAGGUUGGUGUAAAUAACCUGAUUAUAGGACCCCCCCCAGAUAAGGGUUAUUGAAUCAAAAGAGUUAAAUGGUUCACAAUGAUACUGUAAAUGACAUUUUUUUCCUACAAAUUUACUAUAGCUAGUGUCAUAGUAAAACUGUUUAGUAAAAAAAGACAGAAUCAAAAGUCUUCCUGCCUUUUAUGUUGGAAAUUAGUUCACUAUCUACAGGAUUGAAUACAUUCCAUUAGCAAUGAGAACAGUCAACGAGGACUCUUUUUAAUGUGUGCUGUUUGUUCAUUUUUGAAGGUACAGGUGCUGACAUUUUUUUCAAUAAAAAUUCAGUUAAGUUAUGAACUAGAGGAGAAAAACGACCUCUAACAGGAUGAACCUCUUCAGUGUGCUGUCCUUGUCACACGCCCAGGACAGCCCCUGAUCGAGGGCAUCCUUUCAACUUGAAAUCUACAUUGACCACUGGAAUAUGAAUGUGUUUCUGUUAUGAGAUGAAUGUGAUUGGUUAAAUGGCCUUGAUUAGGUAUCUUACCUUGGUCUUAAAAUUUGUUAUCUGUUUUCUUCAUUGUAUGUGUUAUUAAUACCAGUAAAAACAGAUUAUCACACAUCUUCCAUAACUGAUUGUGAAAGGAAUGCCACUGAGUGUGCACGAUGACACGCCGCCUGCAGCAGACAUCUUGGAAAAUUACAUCAUUUUAAGUGCAGUACAGAGCAGCUGAGUUCAAAUCCAACUUGGCUGGUGUGGGCUCCCAUAAAAGCUGUUACCAGUAAAGGCGAAAAAAAUAAGAAUUUGCUCUACUAAGGGAAUAAGAAAUGAAAUUACAAAACACUUAAAUCACAUUAAUUACUUCCCAGGCCUUUGUCAUGCAAGUGUGUGAUUUUAAUCUGUCCUCCUCAUUAGGGGAUGCAGUACUACUAUGGAAUAACUAUUCUAAUGUAAGGUUUUAUUGAUCACAUAUACCUUGUGUGAGAGGAAUUUAGACCACAACAUGACCUAAAAUGUCUUGAAACACCAACCCUAUGAAAAUUCCUUAUUUUAAUCAAUGGUGUUGAAAGGAGAGAAUAUAAACAUGCAAAGGGCAUGUGACUCACCCCGAAUAAGGGGCCAGUCUGAACCCUGCACACAGCAGCCCCAUGGUCGCCCAGUGCCCACCAGAACCGGACCUAGCGGCUUCUAGAAUGUUUCUUUACAACACUGCGCUUUGUCUCUCGUGCUAAAAGGCACUUAGCCUGGCAGACGUCGUAAAUGUGCACUGUAGUUCAGUAGUGUUAACACAGAAACAGACAAGCCUUCUUGUUCACCUAAAGCGGUUUUAAUAAAAAUGAACUCUAAUGUGAGAUUUAUAUAAACUGCACAAAAGUGGCCUGAUAGAAAAAGCCUAGUAACUUAAAUGUUUUUAUGUAAGGAACAGAAUGCACACUAUAGACUCUAUGUACCACCUUCAAGAUGCAAAAUGGUGUAUGAUUUUAAUGUAUUUAAUAUAAAUGUAUUUAAUAAUCUACUUCUGAAGUUCUAAAGAAUUAAAAAUCAAUUAAGCCUAAUGAUUGUAAAAUGCUUCAUCUAAGUCUUCCCAAGUUCAGAACAAAUGUCUAAGCCAGGAAGAUGAAACUCAUCCUGGUCAAAACCAAUGUCAGACCGUCAGGUGUGUCUGACAAACAUGUUUCACCCUCUAGCCGCCAUCCUGGCCCCGCAGUGAGCUGCUCUAGAUCCACGCCUCUAACCCACACGACUCACGACCAGGAACAACAGACAAGAUCCCAGCGGCCUCAGUGUUUUUCUUUUGAUGGUAUCUGACAGCAGUGGAAGUAAAAACUCCACCAAAUACGUGGGCCAAAAUAUGAUGCCAGAAAAACUCAUUAAAAAGUGUUUUAAACAAACUGCCUUAAGGGACAGGGUCUAUGGAACUGAAGCUUUUAGUAUUCCUCUUUAGAACUGCAGACCACCUUUUAUUUAACUUUUUAGGAUACUAAUCUGAACUUGGACAAGAAAACUAGGAAAAACGUUUUGUAUAGAAUUUGCCUUUUCAUGUCUCAGUAAGCUCCCAGGAGCUCAGCGAAUUCUUCCUGUGUUGUCUUGACCGUGCCCAAAUGUAAGAAAUGUUCAGUUACCUACACCCACUAAGACUGGCCGAGAGCGCCACCCCACACCGCCCCGAGGCCCCUGCACGCCUGCGAGAGCAGAAGCCCACCCCCGAAGGCCCGGCCCCCUCUAAUGGGCAUAAGCAGCUGAUGCUGAGAGAGCAGGGGACACCCCGUCCCCACCAUGGACCACAGUGGAGACCACAUCAGAAGUGCCGCCUUCUGACCCACUCCCUGCCUCACUACCCUGUUCCGAAAAAGCCCAAGGUGAGCAUCUCUUCACAGAUAGUCUAAAAACAGGACUCACGUCUACAAUGAGAAGAAGAAUCACAGGGAACAAAAUAACAAGAAAUUAAGACUCGACAACAAGCUCCUUGGGUAGUCUCUACAGCUGGGAAUCCCAGACUCCCUCUGGACAAAAAAGGGCCAUACCUACAUUCUGAGGCUGCUUUUCAUUUUGUUUUUAUUAACGGCAAAGACUUCAGAUUUGAUGAUGCUCUAGAUGUCAUGAUACAGUGAAGUGUGAGAGCCUCAAACAGCUACAAUUUCACUAGCGGAUACUUUCCGAGUCCAGAAAAGAGAAGUCACAUUA